UACCUCUCAGCGUUGCAACCGGAGAGUUUCCAGUCCUCUACCAGUCUCGGCUAUGAGAGGGAGAGUGAAGCAGAGGCCCGUCCAUUCCAUUCCUAGCUUGGGCAGUGGCUAGCGAGCGGAAGGCAAUCUGCUACAAGU